rnacentral:rRNA from 1 species
GAUGAACGCUGACAGAAUGCUUAACACAUGCAAGUCAACUUGAACUUCGGUUUGGGUGGCGGACGGGUGAGUAACGCGUACAGAACUUGCCUCACAGAUAGGGACAACAUUUGGAAACGAAUGCUAAUACCUGAUAUUAUGAUUUUAGGGCAUCCUAGGAUUAUGAAAGCUAUAUGCGCUGUGAGAGAGCUUUGCGUCCCAUUAGCUAGUUGGAGAGGUAACGGCUCACCAAGGCGAUGAUGGGUAGCCGGCCUGAGAGGGUGAUCGGCCACAAGGGGACUGAGACACGGCCCGUACUCCUACGGGAGGCAGCAGUGGGGAAUAUUGGACAAUGGACCAAGAGUCUGAUCCAGCAAUUCUGUGUGCACGAUGAAGUUUUUCGGAAUGUAAAGUGCUUUCAGUUGGGAAGAAAAAAAUGACGGUACCAACAGAAGAAGUGACGGCUAAAUACGUG